GCAUCCGUAGCCGGCUCUGUAAGUUUUCGGUUAAAUCCAUGUGCUCAACGCAUGGGCUGCCGAAAAUACUGCAUAGCUAGGGAGUGGGAGAGGUAGACGGUACUCGGUAGGAAGGGGUAAAAUCCUUUGAUCUAUCGAUGACCACCUGUGGCGAAGGCGGUCUACCAGAACACGUUCGACGGUGAGGGAUGAAAGCUGGGGGAGCAAACCGGAUUAGAUACCCGGGUAGUCCCAGCUGUAAACGAUGCAGACUCGAUGAUGCAUUGGCAUAUAGCCAGUGCAGUGUCGCAGGGAAGCCGUUAAGUCUGCCGCCUGGGAAGUACGUACGCAAGUAUGAAACUUAAAGGAAUUGGCGGGGGAGCAC
rnacentral:rRNA from 1 species